GAUCGCAGUGAUGACCACAAGAAAUUCAAGCUCAACAGACCGGAAUGCAGGGUUCUCUACAUUCUAGAGAACUUUGCGUGUCGACAACCCCGCUGACCUGAGCGAUC